rnacentral:rRNA from 1 species
AUUGAACGCUGGCGGCAGGCUUAACACAUGCAAGUCGAGCGAGCGGCGGACGGGUGAGUAAUGUCUGGGAAACUGCCUGGUGGAGGGGGAUAACUACUGGAAACGGUAGCUAAUACCGCAUACCAUCAGAUGUGCCCAGAUGGGAUUAGCUAGUAGGUGGGGUAAUGGCUCACCUAGGCGACGAUCCCUAGCUGGUCUGAGAGGAUGACCAGCCACACUGGAACUGAGACACGGUCCAGACUCCUACGGGAGGCAGCAGUGGGGAAUAUUGGACAAUGGGCGCAAGCCUGAUGCAGCCAUGCCGCGUGUGUGAAGAAGGCCUUCGGGUUGUAAAGCACUUUCAGCGGAGAAGCGUUACUCGCAGAAGAAGCACCGGCUAACUCCGUGCCAGCAGCCGCGGUAAUAC